rnacentral:lncRNA from 1 species
CUCCGGGGCAGCGCCGACCUGCAGGGCUUGGGUACCUGCGGCCUCCGGCCUCCGCUGCCUCGCCCACGUUGGGGGCUGCGGAACCUGGGGCUCCAAGGUCCCUUAGGGCAACUGGUAGCUGUUCUUAGCUGUGCCCAGCCCUCCCGGAACACACCCUGUGUGAGGUCCCUCCAGCUAUAAGGUGGGCACCAUGUCUGAGAAGUUCGACUGUCACUACUGCAGGGACCCCUUGCAGGGGAAGAAGUAUGUGCAGAAGGAUGGCCGUCACUGCUGCCUGAAGUGCUUUGACAAGUUCUGCGCCAACACCUGCGUGGAAUGCCGCAAGCCCAUAAGCGCUGAUGCUAAGGAGGUGCACUAUAAGAAUCGCUACUGGCACGACACCUGCUUCCGCUGUGCCAAGUGCCUUCACCCCUUGGCCAGUGAGACCUUUGUGUCCAAGGAUGGCAAGAUCCUGUGCAACAAGUGCGCCACUCGGGAGGACUCCCCCAGGUGCAAAGGGUGCUUCAAGGCCAUUGUGGCAGGAGACCAGAAUGUGGAGUACAAGGGCACCAUCUGGCAUAAAGACUGCUUCACCUGCAGCAACUGCAAGCAAGUCAUUGGGACCGGAAGCUUCUUCCCGAAAGGGGAGGACUUCUACUGUGUGACUUGCCAUGAGACCAAGUUUGCCAAGCAUUGCGUGAAAUGCAACAAG